CACCAGUGGCGAAGGCGACUCUUUGGUCUGUAACUGACGCUGAGGAGCGAAAGCGUGGGGAGCGAACAGGAUUAGAUACCCUGGUAGUCCACGCCGUAAACGAUGAGUGCUAAGUGUUAGGGGGUUUCCGCCCCUUAGUGAUGCAGCUAACGCAUUAAGCACUCCGCCUGGGGAGUACGGUCGCAAGACUGAAACUCAAAGGAAUUGACGGGGGCCCGCACAAGCGGUGGAGCAUGUGGUUUAAUUCGAAGCAACGCGAAGAACCUUACCAGGUCUUGACAUCCUCUGACAAUCCUAGAGAUAGGACGUCCCCUUCGGGGGCAGAGUGACAGGUGGUGCAUGGUUGUCGUCAGCUCGUGUCGUGAGAUGUUGGGUUAAGUCCCGCAACGAGCGCAACCCUUGAUCUUAGUUGCCAGCAUUCAGUUGGGCACUCUAAGGUGACUGCCGGUGACAAACCGGAGGAAGGUGGGGAUGACGUCAAAUCAUCAUGCCCCUUAUGACCUGGGCUACACACGUGCUACAAUGGACAGAACAAAGGGCAGCGAAACCGCGAGGUUAAGCCAAUCCCACAAAUCUGUUCUCAUUACAGCGGGGUGUGCAACUCGCACUGCACGAAUGCACCGCCGCAAGCAGACGCGCGAUAGCAGCGAUCCGUUACCUUAUA
rnacentral:rRNA from 1 species